UAAAGUUAUUUCUGCCAAGGAAUCAUCAUCUCAGAAAGGGGAAAAUCUCCAUCUGGGAGGCAGCUGUGAGAUCCGGUGCACGGCCGCUGAGGACACCAGGAGAGGGCAGCAAGCCUCGCACGUGUCAGCCUCGCCGGUUCUCUCCAUUGAAACCAUCGGGAAACAGGAUGAUGAUGAAAAAAAAACCACUUUUCUGCCUUACCUUGCCGUGCUGUUCCUCCUGAGGUUUGGAUAAA
rnacentral:lncRNA from 1 species